GAUGAACGCUGGCGGCGUGCCUAAUACAUGCAAGUCGAGCGAAUGGAUUAAGAGCUUGCUCUUAUGAAGUUAGCGGCGGACGGGUGAGUAACACGUGGGUAACCUGCCCAUAAGACUGGGAUAACUCCGGGAAACCGGGGCUAAUACCGGAUAACAUUUUGAACCGCAUGGUUCGAAAUUGAAAGGCGGCUUCGGCUUCCACUUAUCGAUGGACACGCGUCGCAUUAGCUAGUUGGUGAGGUAACGGCCCACCAAGGCAACGAUGCGUAGCCGACCUGAGAGGGGGAUCGGACACACUGGGACUGAGACACGGCCCAGACUCCUACGGGAGGCAGCAGUAGGGAAUCUUCCGCAAUGGACGAAAGUCUGACGGAGCAACGCCGCGUGAGUGAUGAAGGCUUUCGGGUCGUAAAACUCUGUUGUUAGGGAAGAACAAGUGCUAGUUGAAUAAGCUGGCACCUUGACGGUACCUAACCAGAAAGCCACGGCUAACUACGUGCCAGCAGCCGCCGUAA
rnacentral:rRNA from 1 species